GGGCUUGUACUGGUUUCGACGGGGACCAUGCAGCUGGUGAAGCUAUCCCCAUGCGAUGGGUUAAAUGGCAAACCUAAAUAUAAACGCUGAAGAUAAUUUAGCAAUCGCUGCCUAAUGGCAGCUGUCAGGCUUAGCGCACCUGCACGCUGAGAUUCUGGCAUCGACUAUGCAGGAAACGACGGGCAGUAAGCUUUGCCUGCCUGGGCGUAUAAUGAAGCUACUGAAACCGUAAGGAUGUUUGUUUCCGUGCGGCGGAGGGAAUGAAAAAGAACAAACUAUGAUAGUAGAAGAACAGGGAAUUGGUUUUCGGACAGGGGUUCGACUCCCCUCAGGUCCAUCG
rnacentral:tmRNA from 1 species